UGGUGUACCCACAACAUGACUAACAAAAAUGUACAACUGAAAUCUCACAAGGUUGUAAUCUAUCAUAACAUUAAUAAAAAAAUAAAAAAAAAUAACGUCUGAGUCACUGACGCUUAUGAGGUGGAGGAAGAAAUGAAUUUAUAUUAGAUGUGGAUAAUUCCAUCCAGCAUGAUGUAGUGGAAACAGUACAAUCUUUGGUGUCAGACUGAAGUUUGAAAUCUGUUUCUGUCUCUUUCUAGUUGUAUGGCCUGGGGCAAGACAGCUAAUAUCUCCGGCUAUCACGUUCCUCAUCUGUGAAACAGCAAUCAUGAUAACUGCCCUCUCAAGGUGAUGUGAGUGUCACAUGGAAUAAAUACACACCGGAAGGUGAAGCAGGUGUCAAUACUACUGGAACUUUGCCUUGCAAAUUAUUUACAUAAUCUAGCGCCUUCAUGCCCUCUCAGAACAAACACAAUCUGCAUUCAGAACAGGACCGUUUACAAGUUGAAUGGAGUUGUUUUGGGAAAAAGAAAAAGAAGAAAGAGCUGAAGUAGGAGUAUCUUUUCAACUGAUACAAUGCUUCAAGGUAUAUUUGUUUUCCAUUCUUUCACAAAGGCUAAAUCAAAAUACGUCUGGAAAUUUCAUUGGCUCUACCUUCAAAAUGUAUUCAGAAUUCAGAAAGUUCUUCAGGCAAAAGGAAUAUGAAACCAACAGUAAACUUGGAUCUACAUCAAGAAAUGAAGAGCGCUGGAAAUGGGAUAAAGUAAGCAAACAACGAAAAUUAUUUCUACUCAAGUUUUAAGAAAGGCGGAGGUGCAGCAAGGAUCAAAGCAUCAAAGAAAAAUAAAAUAACUCAAUUCUAAAUACAUUCACUGAUUUUAAAUUAUCAUAUACCUAGUCUCCUCCAGUGACCCCUCCUCAAGAAUUUCACCAGGUUAGAGGGACAAUCAGGAUAGAGAAUUAUUCAGGAAGCAUUUUGGAAGUACACUAAAGAAAACAGUAGGCACAUUGAAGUAGGAAGAUGAGCAUUUUGUUAAACAAACGAGUUAUUUCUAAAAAGACAAUUUACCUUUUGAAAAUAUUUUUAAUUAAUUCAGUCCAAAUCCAUGCCGUUGUUAUGAUUUCAACAUACCCAUGUCCUAGGCCAGAAGACCAGUUUAAUUAUUUCACAACUCAAAGAGGAAAGGCUCCCAGCACAGAGACCCAUCAAGAUCAGCUCUUUGCAUGGCAAUUGCCAAGCUCCUGUAUAUAGUUUCAUGUUGUUAUGGGUUGAAUUGUGUCCCCUCCCCAAAUUCAUAUGUUGGCAUCCUAACCCCUAGUUCCUCAGAAUGUGGCGUUAUUUAGAAAUAGCAUUGUUGCAGAUGCAAUCAUUAAGACGAGGUCAUACUGGAGUUGGAUAGGCACCUACUCCAGUGUGACUGGUGCCCUUAUAAAAAGGGGCAAUUUGGACAGAGAGACAGGCACACAGGAAACACCAUGUGAAGGCUGAAGUUAUACCACCACAAGCCAAGGAACUACCAGAAGGUAGGAGAGAGGCCUGGAACAGAUCCUUUGCUAGCGCCUUCAGCGGGAGCAUGGCCCCAUAGACACCUUGAUUUCAGAUUUCUGGUCUCCAUUUGUAGUGCUUUGUUACAGCAGCCCUAGCAAACUAAUGUAGAUAUCAUUUUCUUUUUUACUCUUCUAAAUUUUGCUGCCACUUUCAAGUGACACAAAAAUGUCAAACCAAGUAGGGAAAGAAUCAUGAAGCAGAGGCAUGACCAUAUACACUUCUCAUGGACUCCACCACCCUUACCCUCUGACCCCUCAACAGCCCCAGACUCCACGCCGUCUUCCAUGAAAGAGAAACUCCUUGCUUUCUUUCUCAGCCCAUGCUCUCUACAGAGGAAAAGCAUAGCCAGCCUUCCAUGUAGACCCCAUUGACUAUUUGCCUAUAAUAAGCCUGCCCUUCAUCAUAACUUUUCCUGUCUGACUUAGUUGGGAAGUUAGGUGUGUCAUUUCAGAUGGGAACAGGACGUUUACCCCAGCAACUGCCCCUACCUUUAACCAAUAGGGCUGAAAUUCUCUGAACAAAAAUAAGAGCCUUUUCUUUCUGUUGGCCUGUGAAAUAAACUGCUCCCUCCCAACACACACACACACACACACACGCACACACACAUGCCCAACAUUUCCUGUGGCAUUGCAGUGUGAUUGGUGGUCUAGUAAAAUGUUGAGAAAGUGAUAUGUGAGCAACCUAGCACAAAUUUUUGAAGAGUAGUGUAUUUGAAAGACUGACCUUUGGCAUAUGCAUAAAUAAGUACAGAGAAAGAACAGAAAGUAAAAGAUAAUUGUGUUGUGUUGUGCGCUCAGCAGGAACUCGGUUGCUUGUUGAUUGAGAAUAUUGAAAGUACAGGAUAAUGAGUAAGUGUGCCACCUAGUUUAGGUUUGCUGGAAUUUGACGAGGCCUGCAGUUACAGAUUGGCCUGACUUUUGUAAAAACCUCUUUGUUUUUCUUGCUCUCAAACACAUUGUAAAUUCAUUAAAUGGCCCAAGGCUUUGCUACUGAUUCUCACACUCUUGUAAGAGCUUAUAAAGGGAGUUUUGGGGCCAAGGCCUCUAAGCAGGAUCCAGAUGUGGGCGGAAAUGGUACUGAUGAUUCAUACUGCUCUAGGGUGAUAAAGUAUUUUAUUGGCUACCAUCAACCUGAUGACCAGGUCGCAGUGGAAGUCAGCCUCAGUUCUGAGCGCACAGUUAAGGUGGAUCUUUGGGGAUGCCUGCAAACCCAAGGCCACGAGCAAGCCUGUGACUCAAUCAGAAUGAAACACAGGACAGGAGACCCCUGACCAGUCUACUUGCCAGGACUGCCUUCUGUCAGUGAUCUUUACUCUUCUCAGUUCUGGGCAUCUGGAAAUAUAUAAUGCGGCUGAGUAAUGUGGCAUUAAGCAGACAAAAUAACAUACAGAAAUCAAAUCUACAGAUAAUCCAAAAAGCACAUUUUGGACCAUCUUUUGAUAUUCUGUACUUUUUCUUUCCACCCUGUAAAAAUAAUCUUUUUCCAUCUAAUGAGAGAUUGGCAGAGGGGAUGAAGGGAAGAGAAGCAAAAAGAGUGAAGAAUUUGCAGACUGGAUGACCUGACCCCGAACAACUGGAUGUGUUGAAAAUGUGUGCAUUUCAGAAAGAGUUUUAGUGUGGAAAGUCCUGAGGACAGAAACUCUGUCUUUAGAAUUUAGCAUUUUAGAGAGCAUCAAGAUUCUUCUGCUUUAAACUCCUCCCUGGGUGCAAGCUAGUUAUCAAUGUGAAGUGGAAACCUGAAAAAAUUUCAAGUGUGUGUUAAAAAUCUAUUUCUAUUUUCUGAUAUUAAUAUCUUCCAAAAUUAAACUAAAAAAAAACUCUUUCCCAAUUCCAUUUUUUGAAAAGUCUGGGUUUCUAUUGAAACAAUUCCUACCCUCCACGUCUAAAAAAUUACUUAAGAACUUUCGGCAAGAUCAAGACGGUCAGUUCUGUGAUUCUGGACACUGUGGAAUGCCUAUCUCAUUAUUUCUCUUGAAAAUAUGUGUGAAACUCACUACCAUUCUGAAACUCUACCUAACACAUUUUUUUAAAUAAACUUUUUUUUUAAAUUUUAGAACAGUUUUAGAGAAAAAUUGCAAAGACUGUACAGAGAGUUUCCAAAUACCCCACAUCCAGUUUCCU